rnacentral:rRNA from 1 species
GACGAACGCUGGCGGCGUGCUUAACACAUGCAAGUCGAACGAAGAGCGAUGGAAGCUUGCUUCUAUCAAUCUUAGUGGCGAACGGGUGAGUAACGCGUAAUCAACCUGCCCUUCAGAGGGGGACAACAGUUGGAAACGACUGCUAAUACCGCAUACGAUCUAAUCUCGGCAUCGAGGAUAGAUGAAAGGUGGCCUCUACAUGUAAGCUAUCACUGAAGGAGGGGAUUGCGUCUGAUUAGCUAGUUGGAGGGGUAACGGCCCACCAAGGCGAUGAUCAGUAGCCGGUCUGAGAGGAUGAACGGCCACAUUGGGACUGAGACACGGCCCUGACUCCUACGGGAGGCAGCAGUGGGGAAUCUUCCGCAAUGGACGAAAGUCUGACGGAGCAACGCCGCGUGAGUGAUGACGGCCUUCGGGUUGUAAAGCUCUGUUAAUCGGGACGAAAGGCCUUCUUGCGAAUAGUGAGAAGGAUUGACGGUACCGGAAUAGAAAGCCACGGCUAACUACGUG